GAGGAUGGAUCCGGCGAGGUGACCUGCGAAGAGUUUGUGACAGGCUGCCAAAAGCUCCAGGGAGAGUCAAGGAGCCUGGACGCGAAGAU
rnacentral:rRNA from 11 species